AAAAAAGAUUUUUAAAAAGUUGAAAGAUUAUCAAACAUAUUUCUCAUGCUUAUACAACAUAAGCUAUACUAAUUUCAUGCUACAGCAUUACUUAAUGCUAUUAAAAUAACGGGAACGGAUACAGUUUGGGAUAUAAAACAGUCUCUCAAAUCAAAGUAAAUUUAAUUGCCACCAAAUAAUGCUAACUCAGCAAGGAUGACUUAAGCCAUUUUU